AGACAAUAGUAAGAACAAAUUGCCAAUUGUCAAAGCAAUAAAAAUUAUCUGUUCAUGCAACAUUUUAAGCCUGGUAUGUAUGACGAGCUUAAAUAUAAACAGAAGACCUUAAGAUAAGAAAAUUGAUUUCUUCAAAUGUCAGAUAUUCAAAGAAGAAUAUUGUAUACUGUGAAUCAUUUAUGUUCGUGGAUAAAAAUUUCUCGUGGAUUAAGGAUAAAUUUCAUUUUUUUGUUGAUAUUUGAUUUCAUGGUUUUACAAAAUUCUGCAUACAAACCUAUAGAAAAUUUGACCCUUAUUGAACAUUUAAACUUGUAGUUCACCAGUACCCAUGAAACUUGGUAUUCCACAAAUACUGAGGAAUCCACAGAAUGUUUCAUUAAUGGACACCAUGUUUACCAUGUAUGAUUGUUACAUUUGUUUGUUUUUAUAAUGAUUAAGAUGAUAACAAAAUGUUGACUGCUGUACCCCUAUUUUUGACAUUUUUAACUAUUGUGUCUGUUUGUUUUGUUCACGCAUCGUUGUCAAUAUAAUGGAAUUUGAUGCGACUGUCAUACAAGUGAGAGGUUUAGCUAGCUAUAAAACCAGGUUCAAUCCACCAUUUUCUACAUAAGAAACUGCCUGUACCAAGUCAGGAAUAUGACAGUUGUUAUCCAUUUGUUUGAUGUGUUUGAGCUUUUGAUUUUGCCAUUUGAUUAGGGACUUUCCUUUUUGAAUCUUCCUCGUUUUGUGAUUUUACUUUUUAUUUCAGUUUUUAUGAUAUCAGAUUUUCAUAUUUGAGAUUAAGCUGUUGCUUUCAGCUUUCCAUUUGUGUCUUAUUAGUUGUAGUAAUUGUAGAGAUUUGCUAGUACCAAUAAAAUUCUUUUUUUUUAAUCAUGGUGCACGAAUAUGCUACAAAAUUGCACUUUUCAGUGCUCUGUCUCUAACAGAGAAUUUCUGCUUUUAAUUUCUGAUUCCCCACUCCAUUGUAUUCCUCUAAAGACUACAUAAUACUAAUUAACUGCAAAAUUCAACACUUAGGAUUCUCAAUCUUUUUGUAAGGUGUGACCUGCCAGCAACUAUCAAGAUGAGGAACAGAAAUUAAACCAUGAUCCUUUUAUAAUAAUAAAUGACAAUUCCUAUUAGGAAUCAGGGGUGUAGAAAUAUUAUAUAUAUAUAUGUGAACAUGAUUAAUACCAUGGGGAAAAACAGAACAACAUAGAACUUUAAAUUUAUCUCUUCUUGUUAAUUUUCACUCUUCGUCCUUUUCCGCUUGGGAUUUCCAUUUCUUGUCUAAUCAUUUUUACUUAAAUGUUGUUGUCAUCUUGAUCAUUGAUGAAUUUUACUUUAAAAAAAUAAUGUCUCAAAUAAAUGAUAUUUUGAUAACUUUACCUUAUUUUUCUAUACAAAUGAACAUUGUCAAUUCCAAAUUUUUUACUUGUUUUUUCUAUGUAUAUUUUAUUAAUUGUUUAUAUUUUACUAGUCACUAGUUUCUAUCCUAAUUUCAAAAAUACUGAUGAUUUUGAUAAUACAAUUUAACAUUGCAGAAACAAGAGUUAUGACCAAAAUUAAAAAACCUUAGUCAGCGCGCUCACAUACCCCACGUCCCCACAUUGUUAUUGGAGAAAUAAAAUAAGUGUAAGAAAAAAAAUUGUAUCAGAAAAAAAAAUUGAAUCAUAAUUUCCUGUCAAUAUGCACAUCUACAUAGUAUGUCCUUAUUAUCUAAAAAGGUUUCAUGAAAUUCUGUUGUGUGGUUUGAGAUGAGUUGCGAUGAUAAAAGGUUGCAGUAGUAUAUUGGGCAAAUAAGUUCAAAGGGGCGUAACUCCUGGAAAAAAAAUUGAAUCGUAAUUUUCUGUCGAUAUGCACAUCUACGUAGUAUGUCCUUAUUAUCUGAAAAGGUUUCAUGAAAUUCUGUUGUGUGGUUUGAGAGGAGUUGCGAUGACAAAAGCUUGCAGUAGUAUAUUGGGCAAAUAAGUUCAAAGGGGCGUAACUCCUGCAAAAAAAAAUUGAAUCGUAAUUUCCUGUCGAUAUGCACAUCUACGUAGUAUGUCCUUAUUAUCUGAAAAGGUUUCAUGAAAUUCUGUUGUGUGGUUUAAGAGGAGUUGCGAUGACAAAAGGUUGCAGUAGUAUAUUGGGCAAAUAAGUUCAAAGGGGCGUAACUCCUGGAAAAAAAUUGAAUCGUAAUUUCCUGUCGAUAUGCACAUCUACGUAGUAUGUCCUUAUUAUCUGAAAAGGUUUCAUGAAAUUCUGUUGUGUGGUUUGAGAGGAGUCGCGAUGACAAACAGUUGCAGUAGUACAUUAAAGUAAAUAAGUUCAAAGGGACGUAACUCCUAGAAAAAGAAUUGAAUCGUAAUUUCCUGUCG